rnacentral:rRNA from 1 species
AACGAACGCUGGCGGCAGGCCUAACACAUGCAAGUCGAGCGCAUCCUUCGGGAUGAGCGGCGGACGGGUUAGUAACGCGUGGGAACGUACCCAGAUCUAAGGAAUAGCCACUGGAAACGGUGAGUAAUACCUUAUACGCCCUUCGGGGGAAAGAUUUAUCGGAUUUGGAUCGGCCCGCGUUAGAUUAGAUAGUUGGUGGGGUAAUGGCCUACCAAGUCUACGAUCUAUAGCUGGUUUGAGAGGAUGAUCAGCAACACUGGGACUGAGACACGGCCCAGACUCCUACGGGAGGCAGCAGUGGGGAAUCUUAGACAAUGGGCGCAAGCCUGAUCUAGCCAUGCCGCGUGAGUGAUGAAGGUCUUAGGAUCGUAAAGCUCUUUCGCCAGAGAUGAUAAUGACAGUAUCUGGUAAAGAAACCCCGGCUAACUCCGUGCCAGCAGCCGCGGUAA